rnacentral:rRNA from 1 species
AUUGAACGCUGGCGGCAGGCUUAACACAUGCAAGUCGAGCGAGCGGCGGACGGGUGAGUAAUGUCUGGGAAAAUGCCUGAGGGAGGGGGAUAUCUACUGGAAACGGUAGCUAAUACCGCAUACCAUCAGAUGUGCCCAGAUGGGAGUAGCUAGUAGGUGGGGUAACGGAUCACCUAGGCGACGAUCCCUAGCUGGUCUGAGAGGAUGACCAGCCACACUGGAACUGAGACACGGUCCAUACUCCUACGGGAGGCAGCAGGAGGGAAUAUUGCACAAUGGACGCAAGCCUGAUGCAGCCAUGCCGCGUGUGUGAAGAAGGCCUUCGGGUUGUAAAGCACUUUCCGCGAGGAGGCGUUACUCGCAGAAGAAGCACCGGCUAACUCCGUGCCAGCAGCCGCGGUAAUUC